GAUGAACGCUGGCGGCGUGCCUAAUACAUGCAAGUCGAGCGAACAGAAGAGGAGUUUUCUCCUUGGACGUUAGCCGCGGGCGGGUGAGUAACACGUGGAUUACCUACCUAUAAGACUGGGCUCACUUCGGGAAAGCGGAGCUAAUACCGGAUAAUAUAUUGAACCUUAUGGUUCAAUCGUGAAAUACUGGUUUUCUGUCACUUAUAGAUGGCACCGGGCCGCUUUCGCUAGUUGGUAAGGUAAAGGCUUACCAAGGCAACGAUGCGUAGCCGACCUGAGCGGGGGGGCGGCCACACUGGAACGGAGACACGGCACAGACCCCUACGGGAGGCAGCGGUAGAGAAUCGUACGCAAUGGGAGAAAGCCUGCCGGAGCACCGCCGCGUGAGUGAUGAAGAUCUUCGGAUCUUAAACCUCUGUUAUUAGGGAAGAACAAAUAUGUAAGUAACUAGGCACGACUUGACGGUACCUAAUCAGAAAGCCACGGCUAACUACGUG
rnacentral:rRNA from 1 species